rnacentral:rRNA from 1 species
AUUGAACGCUGGCGGCAGGCCUAACACAUGCAAGUCGAACGAGUGGCGGACGGGUGAGUAAUGUCUGGGAAACUGCCUGAUGGAGGGGGAUAACGACUGGAAAAGGUAGCUAAUACCGCAUACCAUCAGAUGUGCCCAGAUGGGAUUAGGUUGUUGGUGGGGUAAAGGCUCACCAAGGCGACGCUCCCUAGCUGGUCUGAGAGGAUGACCAGCCACACUGGAACUGAUACACGGUCCAGACUCCUACGGGAGGCAGCAGUGGGGAAUAUUGCACAAGGGGCGCAAUUCUGAUGCAGCAAUGCCGCGUGUAUGAAGAAGGCCUUCGGGUCGUAAAGUACUUUCAGCGGGGAGGCGUUACCCGCAGAAGAAGCACCGGCUAACUCCGUGCCAGCAGCCGCGGUAAUUC